GACGAACGCUGGCGGCGUGCUUAACACAUGCAAGUCGAACGGAAAGGCCCUGCUUUUGUGGGGUGCUCGAGUGGCGAACGGGUGAGUAACACGUGAGUAACCUGCCCUUGACUUUGGGAUAACUUCAGGAAACUGGGGCUAAUACCGGAUAGGAGCUCCUGCUGCAUGGUGGGGGUUGGAAAGUUUCGGCGGUUGGGGAUGGACUCGCGGCUUAUCAGCUUGUUGGUGGGGUAGUGGCUUACCAAGGCUUUGACGGGUAGCCGGCCUGAGAGGGUGACCGGCCACAUUGGGACUGGGAUACGGCCCAGACUCCUACGGGAGGCAGCGGUGGGGAAUAUUGCACAAUGGGGGGAAGCCUGAUGCAGCAACGCCGCGUGCGGGAUGACGGCCUUCGGGUUGUAAACCGCUUUCGCCUGUGACGAAGCGUGAGUGACGGUAAUGGGUAAAGAAGCACCGGCUAACUACGUG
rnacentral:rRNA from 1 species